rnacentral:rRNA from 1 species
UGGGGAAUAUUGCACAAUGGGCGCAAGCCUGAUGCAGCCAUGCCGCGUGUAUGAAGAAGGCCUUCGGGUUGUAAAGUACUUUCAGCGGGGAGGAAGGCGAUAAGGUUAAUAACCUUGUCGAUUGACGUUACCCGCAGAAGAAGCACCGGCUAACUCCGUGCCAGCAGCCGCGGUAAUACGGAGGGUGCAAGCGUUAAUCGGAAUUACUGGGCGUAAAGCGCACGCAGGCGGUUUGUUAAGUCAGAUGUGAAAUCCCCGGGCUCAACCUGGGAACUGCAUCUGAUACUGGCAAGCUUGAGUCUCGUAGAGGGGGGUAGAAUUCCAGGUGUAGCGGUGAAAUGCGUAGAGAUCUGGAGGAAUACCGGUGGCGAAGGCGGCCCCCUGGACGAAGACUGACGCUCAGGUGCGAAAGCGUGGGGAGCAAACAGG